rnacentral:misc_RNA from 1 species
GCACGUGAUGGACACGUGGAGGUGUGCCCGCCCCCCGGAUUGCGUGAUUGUCAAGUGCGCGCGAAGUGUGCUGAGCGUUUUUUUUUGCUUUUCUUUCACCCACAGCGCAGCGCGCCGGCUAAGACUGCAGGACCACCGUCCAGCUGUGGCUCCCACGUCUGUCCUCUGUGCGCUGCUGCACACAUACGUACCUGGAGAGAGACGGCGCCAUCCGAUUGCCGCCGCGCAUCUCGCCUCUCAUCCUUCCCCCCUCCCCGUGGUGGACCACAUAUACAUAGAAUCAUGACAACCCUACCGGUGCUUCACUUGAAAGCAACCAGCCUGCAGAAUGUGACUAUCGCCGCGGACCUGAGUGACACCACAGCGACCCUCUACACGUUCCUCCGCUCGACCCCCAGCGCCGCCGAAACUGAACUGGCCCUCCAGCCCUUUCUCGAAUCCCUCCACGCGGCUCCGUCGUCCGGCAGGGCUGCUCUCAUGCGGCGACCAAAUCAUCGCCUUGUACAGCUUCUGGAGUCGGUGGCCGUUGAUGGCGUCUUUCGUUGCACACCGCAUGUCCUUCCUGCGCUGGCGCGUCACUCAGAUCGGUGGCUGCACCGGUUGGGGUACCCCUCGAUGGACGGUGAGGCGGCUGAUUCUACGGCAGCGGUGGACUCUGCGGCACAUGCAGCGAGUGGGUCGCGGCGAUCGGCGUCACCUCCGACGGCUGCACCGUUCCCAUUCAUGCGCGUGCGCGCGACGGACAUGCACCAGUACGUCGAUCCGUACUCAGCCUAUGAGGCUGAUUACGUUGGGAGGCAGGAAGCGGCUGACUCGGCUCAUGUUGAUGCCUUUGCCAGCGGCGAAGCGCAUUUGCCUAAGAACGGGUCUGCAGCAGAGUCGAGUGGCCUGCAGCACAGGGACACUGCGCAGCCUCAUGAAGAGGCAUCGUCUGUGUCGGCUGAGGUGUCUGCGCUCACUGUUCCUGGAGACGAGCCGCAGCUGAGCGAGCUAGCGCCGUCUGCGUCGCACGCAGCGACUCCAGCGCCAAAAGCGGCCCUCACCUCCGCCCCGGCGAUUCACCCGGUGCUCCACCUCAUCGCAAACCAAGUUGUGCAGCAGCAGGAGGAAGGGGAGAAGACGGGCCGCGGGAGCGCGGAGGAGCGUGCGCACCCGUCCUCGUCACACGCAGUUCUUGACGAAAAGCUGCAACGUCUCAUGGCGCAGCUAAACGAGGCAGAAACACAGCUUACCGACGCCAUGGCAGAGAAGGAGGCGGCAGAGCAGGUGUGGUUGCCGUACUACAGCCGCCUCAAGACGAGCAGGAUGUACGUCAACGAGCUCAAGAGUCGUUUACAGAGCGCCGCCUCCCUCUAUCUGCUUCAGCGAUACGAGCGCGAGACGCUUCAGCAGGCUCACGUCGGCGUCGCGAUGGAGUCCAUGAGCCUGCAGCUGGUGCUGCGCGAUGUGCGCGCACGACUGGAAGAUGAGCAGCGCAGUUCGCUCACAGACGACCACCAGCAGGCGACGGAGAGCGAUAUGCUGGCUCAGCAGUUGAGCGCUGUUCUGGCAGUGCCUGCGGCUGCGAGCCAGCGCAACGCGGCAUGCCAUCGUUGAAACUAAGCAGCUCAUCUCGCAUACACAUAGACGAUCACAAUGGCGGAGUUUGAUCAUGUCCGCCAGUCCCGAUUCACGUCAGCGGCCUCACCAGCACAGCGGCAGCAACAUAUGCACACUAAGAGUUUUAACAUACCUCUCUGUCAGGGCAUAGUCGUCGCUGCGACUGACGGAGAUGGCUGACAACCCCCCUCCCGCUCAACGCAUCAGACUUCUCGGGCGUUUUGUGCAUCCACUCUAGUGAUUUACAGCGGCUACUGGUCGGGACCACAUGCCCUCUUUGGACUUUGCUGCACAUCUUCUCCCCAGUUCAACGUCCUGCGUUCGCAG